rnacentral:rRNA from 1 species
GACCGGGGUGCUAUACAUGCAGUCGAGCGGACAGAAGGGAGCUUGCUCCCGGAUGUUAGCGGCGGACGGGUGAGUAACACGUGGGUAACCUGCCUGUAAGACUGGGAUAACUCCGGGAAACCGGAGCUAAUACCGGAUAGUUCCUUGAACCGCAUGGUUCAAGGAUGAAAGACGGUUUCGGCUGUCACUUACAGAUGGACCCGCGGCGCAUUAGCUAGUUGGUGAGGUAACGGCUCACCAAGGCGACGAUGCGUAGCCGACCUGAGAGGGUGAUCGGCCACACUGGGACUGAGACACGGCCCAGACUCCUACGGGAGGCAGCAGUAGGGAAUCUUCCGCAAUGGACGAAAGUCUGACGGAGCAACGCCGCGUGAGUGAUGAAGGUUUUCGGAUCGUAAAGCUCUGUUGUUAGGGAAGAACAAGUGCAAUAGUAACUGCUUGCACCUUGACGGUACCUAACCCUAAAGUCACGG